UACGGAGGGUGCGAGCGUUGUCCGGAAUCACUGGGCGUAAAGGGCGCGUAGGCGGCCUGAUAAGUAGGGGGUGAAAUCUUGCGGCUUAACCGCAAGGCUGCCUUCUAAACUGUCGGGCUAGAGCACAGUAGAGGCAGGUGGAAUUCCCGGUGUAGCGGUGGAAUGCGUAGAGAUCGGGAGGAACACCAGUGGCGAAGGCGACUUCCUGGCCUGUUCUUGACGCUGAGGCGCGAAAGCUAGGGUAGCAAACGGG
rnacentral:rRNA from 1 species